AAUGUAUAGCAAUAGCUACUUGCAUUAUUGUAAAGAUGAUGCAAGAUCGACUAUGUCGAAUAAAAUUCUAGGUAGAAUUAUGAUAAUGACAUUGUCUGCCUAUGUGUCUUGACCAAAUUACGUGCCAGCAGUCGCGGUAAUACGUAGAAGACUAGUGUUAUUCAUGUUUAAUCGGUUUAAAGGGUACCUAGACGGUAAAUCAAGCCUAAAAGGAAAUAAAUGAAGGGACUAAUUUACUAGAGUUACUUAUGAGGGGGUAUUAAAGUACUGCUGGUGUAGAGAUGAAAUUCUGUCAUACCUCUUUUCAAUAGAAAAAUAAUGGCACAGGUAUAGGCGAAAGCAUCCCCUUAUGUGAUAACUGACGUUGAGGGACGAAGGCUUUGUGUAGCGAACAGGAUUAGAUACCCCAGUAGUCAAAGCAGAAAAUGAUGAAUGUCAUAGAUUAGAUAUAUAAGUUUAUUCUAUAAAUGAAAGUGUAAGCAUUCCACCUCAAGAGUAAUUUGGCAACAUUGGAACUGAAAUCAUUAGACCGUUUCUGAAACCAGUAGUGAAGUAUGUUGUUUAAUUUGAUGAUCCACAAAAAACCUUACCACAAUUUGAAUAUUUACAUCUUUUAUUGUUUUCUACUUAAGAAAAAAUAAAGAAAAAAGAAACAAUAAGAUAUAUUUACAAGCGUUGCACGGCUGUCUUCAGUUAAUGUCGCGAGACUAUGGUUAGUUCCAUUAAAUUAACGUAAACCCUUACUUUAUUUUUAUAUAGAGUAGUUCCCCACUAUAUUGGAUAUGAUAACAGG
rnacentral:rRNA from 1 species